rnacentral:rRNA from 1 species
CUACGGGUCGCUCCAGUGGGGAAUAUUGCACAAUGGGCGCAAGCCUGAUGCAGCAAUGCCGCGUGUAUGAAGAAGGCCUUCGGGUUGUAAAGUACUUUCAGCGGGGAGGAAGGGAGUAAAGUUAAUACCUUUGCUAAUUGACGUUACCCGCAGAAGAAGCACCGGCUAACUCCGUGCCAGCAGCCGCGGUAAUACGGAGGGUGCAAGCGUUAAUCGGAAUUACUGGGCGUAAAGCGCACGCAGGCGGUUUGUUAAGUCGGAUGUGAAAUCCCCGGGCUCAACCUGGGAACUGCAUCUGAAACUGGAACGCUUGAGUCUGGUAGAGGAGGGUAGAAUUCCAGGUGUAGCGGUGAAAUGCGUAGAGAUCUGGAGGAAUACCGGUGGCGAAGGCGGCCCCCUGGACGAAGACUGACGCUCAGAUGCGAAAGCGUGGGGAGCAAACAGGAUUAGAUACCCUAGUAGUC